GAAGAGAGAGCUCAGUGGCAGAGCACAGGAUUUGCAAUCCUGGAGACAGUUUCCUCU
rnacentral:tRNA from 1 species